rnacentral:tRNA from 1 species
ACUUUUAAAGGAUAACAGUAAUCCACUGGUCU